rnacentral:rRNA from 1 species
UACGUAGGGUCCAAGCGUUAAUCGGAAUUACUGGGCGUAAAGCGUGCGCAGGCGGUUCGUUAAGUCAGCUGUGAAAGCCCCGGGCUCAACCUGGGAAUUGCGGUUGAAACUGGCGAACUAGAAUCUGGCAGAGGGGGGUGGAAUUCCACGUGUAGAAGUGAAAUGCGUAGAGAUGUGGAGGAACACCGAUGGCGAAGGCAGCCCCCUGGGCUGAGAUUGACGCUCAGGCACGAAAGCGUGGGGAGCAAACAGG